CUACUCAGGCUUAUCUGCAUUUCGCAUAAAUCUUUCGCCUUUUACUAAAGAUUUCCGUGCAGAUGAGCAUUUUGAUGAGUCUAUAAACAAUUUUUCCCUGGCUGAGCGAAAGCUUGGCCU